UGGAGUAAAAGUCGUAACAAGGUCUCCGUUGGUGAACCAGCGGAGGGAUCAUUACCGAGUUUACAACUCCCAAACCCAAUGUGAACGUUACCAAACUGUUGCCUCGGCGGGGUCACGCCCCGGGUGCGUAAAAGCCCCGGAACCAGGCGCCCGCCGGAGGAACCAACCAAACUCUUUCUGUAGUCCCCUCGCGGACGUAUUUCUUACAGCUCUGAGCAAAAAUUCAAAAUGAAUCAAAACUUUCAACAACGGAUCUCUUGGUUCUGGCAUCGAUGAAGAACGCAGCGAAAUGCGAUAAGUAAUGUGAAUUGCAGAAUUCAGUGAAUCAUCGAAUCUUUGAACGCACAUUGCGCCCGCCAGUAUUCUGGCGGGCAUGCCUGUCCGAGCGUCAUUUCAACCCUCGAACCCCUCCGGGGGAUCGGCGUUGGGGAUCGGGACCCCUCACCGGGUGCCGGCCCUGAAAUACAGUGGCGGUCUCGCCGCAGCCUCUCCUGCGCAGUAGUUUGCACAACUCGCACCGGGAGCGCGGCGCGUCCACGUCCGUAAAACACCCAACUUUUGAAAUUUGACCUCGGAUCAGUAGAAACCCCCUC
rnacentral:sRNA from 1 species